rnacentral:rRNA from 1 species
AGUCGAGCGAGCGGAACUAACUGAUUUACUUCGGUAAUGACGUUAGGAAAGCGAGCGGCGGAUGGGUGAGUAACACGUGGGGAACCUGCCCCAUAGUCUGGGAUACCACUUGGAAACAGGUGCUAAUACCGGAUAAGAAAGCAGAUCGCAUGAUCAGCUUUUAAAAGGCGGCGUAAGCUGUCGCUAUGGGAUGGCCCCGCGGUGCAUUAGCUAGUUGGUAAGGUAAAGGCUUACCAAGGCGAUGAUGCAUAGCCGAGUUGAGAGACUGAUCGGCCACAUUGGGACUGAGACACGGCCCAAACUCCUACGGGAGGCAGCAGUAGGGAAUCUUCCACAAUGGACGCAAGUCUGAUGGAGCAACGCCGCGUGAGUGAAGAAGGUUUUCGGAUCGUAAAGCUCUGUUGUUGGUGAAGAAGGAUAGAGGUAGUAACUGGCCUUUAUUUGACGGUAAUCAACCAGAAAGUCACGGCUAACUACGUGCCAGCAGCCGCGGUAAUACGUAGGUGGCAAGCGUUGUCCGGAUUUAUUGGGCGUAAAGCGAGCGCAGGCGGAAGAAUAAGUCUGAUGUGAAAGCCCUCGGCUUAACCGAGGAACUGCAUCGGAAACUGUUUUUCUUGAGUGCAGAAGAGGAGAGUGGAACUCCAUGUGUAGCGGUGGAAUGCGUAGAUAUGUGGAAGAACACCAGUGGUGAAGGCGGCUCUCUGGUCUGCAACUGACGCUGAGGCUCGAAAGCAUGGGUAGUGAACAGGAUUAGAUACCCUGGUAGUCCAUGCCGUANACGAUGAGUGCUAAGUGUUGGGAGGUUUCCGCCUCUCAGUGCUGCAGCUAACGCAU